rnacentral:rRNA from 1 species
GACGAACGCUGGCGGCGUGCUUAACACAUGCAAGUCGAACGGAAAGGCUCCAGCUUGCUGGAGUACUCGAGUGGCGAACGGGUGAGUAACACGUGGGUAAUCUGCCCUGCACUCUGGGAUAAGCCUGGGAAACUGGGUCUAAUACUGGAUAUGACCUUUCUCCUUAUGGGGUUUGGUGGAAAGUUUUUCGGUGUAGGAUGAGCCCGCGGCCUAUCAGCUUGUUGGUGGGGUGAUGGCCUACCAAGGCGACGACGGGUAGCCGGCCUGAGAGGGUGAUCGGCCACAUUGGGACUGAGAUACAGCCCAGACUCCUACGGGAGGCAGCAGUGGGGAAUAUUGCACAAUGGGCGGAAGCCUGAUGCAGCGACGCCGCGUGAGGGAUGACGGCCUUCGGGUUGUAAACCUCUUUCAGCAGGGGCGAAGCGUAAGUGACGGUACCUGCAGAAGAAGCACCGGCUAACUAUGUG